rnacentral:rRNA from 1 species
UACAGAGGCCACAAGCGUUAGGCGGAAUCACUGGGCUUAAAGCGUGUGUAGGCGGGAUGGUAAGUACCUUGUGAAAUCCCACGGCUUAGCCGUGGAAUUGCUUGGUAUACUGCCGUUCUUGAGUCAUCUAGGGGCAACCGGAACAGAUGGUGGAGCGGUGAAAUGCAUAGAUAUCAUCUGGAACGCCAAUGGUGCAGACAGGUUGCUGGGGAUGUACUGACGCUGAGGCACGAAAGCCAGGGGAGCAAACGGG